rnacentral:rRNA from 1 species
UACCAGCACCCCGAGUGGUCGGGACGUUUAUUGGGCCUAAAGCAUCCGUAGCCGGUCCUACAAGUCUUCCGUUAAAUCCAGCUGCUUAACAGAUGGGCUGCGGAAGAUACUAUGGAGCUAGGAGGCGGGAGAGGCAAGCGGUACUCGAUGGGUAGGGGUAAAAUCCGUUGAUCCAUUGAAGACCACCAGUGGCGAAGGCGGCUUGCCAGAACGCGCUCGACGGUGAGGGAUGAAAGCUGGGGGAGCAACCGG